UGAACGCUGGCGGCAGGCCUAACACAUGCAAGUCGACCGGUAACAGGAAACAGCUUGCUGUUUCGCUGACGAGUGGCGGACGGGUGAGUAAUGUCUGGGAAACUGCCUGAUGGAGGGGGAUAACUACUGGAAACGGUAGCUAAUACCGCAUAACGUCGCAAGACCAAAGAGGGGGACCUUCGGGCCUCUUGCCAUCGGAUGUGCCCAGAUGGGAUUAGCUAGUAGGUGGGGUAACGGCUCACCUAGGCGACGAUCCCUAGCUGGUCUGAGAGGAUGACCAGCCACACUGGAACUGAGACACGGUCCAGACUCCUACGGGAGGCAGCAGUGGGGAAUAUUGCACAAUGGGCGCAAGCCUGAUGCAGCCAUGCCGCGUGUAUGAAGAAGGCCUUCGGGUUGUAAAGUACUUUCAGCGGGGAUGAAGGGAGUAAAGUUAAUACCUUUGCUCAUUGACGUUACCCGCAGAAGAAGCACCGGCUAACUCCGUG
rnacentral:rRNA from 1 species